UAGGGUAUUGGCCUAACAUGGCUAUGACGGGUAACGGGGAAUUAGAGUUCGAUUCCGGAGAGGGAGCCUGAGAAAUAGCUACCACAUCUAAGGAAGGCAGCAGGCGCGUAAAUUACCCAAUUCUAAAGAAGAGAGGUAGUGACAAGAAAUAACAAUGCAAGGCCAAAUUUUGGUUUUGCAAUUGGAAUGAUGGGAAUUUAAAACCUUCCCAGAAGGCAAUUGGAGGGCAAGUCUGGUGCCAGCAGCCGCGGUAAUUCCAGCUCCAAUAGCGUAUAUUAAAAUUGUUGCAGUUAAAGCGCUCGUAGUUGAAUUUCAAGGAAUCAAUAUUUUAAGCAAUGCUUUGUAUAUUUUUAACAAAGUUGUACAUUAAGAAUAAACGCAAUAAGCGUUAUAUUCUUUCUGUUACAUUUUGUUUUAUUAAUAUGCUUAUGCGUUCUUAUUAUAAAAAUGAUUCUUUUUAAAAUUCUCUUGUAUAAUUUUUUAUGCAUGGGAAUUUUGUUACUUUGAGUAAAUUAGAGUGUUCAAAGCAAACAGUUAAAACAGUUUCUGUGUUUGAAUACUACAGCAUGGAAUAACAAAAUUGAACAAGUCAAAAUUUUGUUCUUUUUUCUUAUUUUGGCUUAGUUACGAUUAAUAGGAGUAGCUUGGGGGCAUUUGUAUUCAGAUGUCAGAGGUGAAAUUCUUAGAUUUUCUGGAGACAAGCAACUGCGAAAGCAUUUGCCUAAAAUACUUCCAUUAAUCAAGAACGAAA
rnacentral:rRNA from 1 species